AUUGAACGCUGGCGGCAGGCCUAACACAUGCAAGUCGAGCGGAUGAAGGGAGCUUUCUCCUGGAUUCAGCGGCGGACGGGUGAGUAAUGCCUAGGAAUCUGCCUGGUAGUGGGGGAUAACGUCCGGAAACGGGCGCUAAUACCGCAUACGUCCUGAGGUAGAAAGUGGGGGAUCUUCGGACCUCACGCUAUCAGCUGAGCCUAGGUCGGAUUAGCUAGUUGGUGGGGUAAAGGCCUACCAAGGCGACGAUCCGUAACUGGUCUGAGAGGAUGAUCAGUCACACUGGAACUGAGACACGGUCCAGACUCCUACGGGAGGCAGCAGUGGGGAAUAUUGGACAAUGGGCGAAAGCCUGAUCCAGCCAUGCCGCGUGUGUGAAGAAGGUCUUCGGAUUGUAAAGCACUUUAAGUUGGGAGGAAGGGCAGUAAGUUAAUACCUUGCUGUUUUGACGUUACCAACAGAAUAAGCACCGGCUAACUUCGUG
rnacentral:rRNA from 1 species